GAUGAACGCUGGCGGCGUGCCUAAUACAUGCAAGUCGAGCGAACAGACGAGGAGCUUGCUCCUCUGACGUUAGCGGCGGACGGGUGAGUAACACGUGGAUAACCUACCUAUAAGACUGGGAUAACUUCGGGAAACCGGAGCUAAUACCGGAUAAUAUAUUGAACCGCAUGGUUCAAUAGUGAAAGACGGUUUUGCUGUCACUUAUAGAUGGAUCCGCGCCGCGUUAGCUAGUUGGUAAGGUAACGGCUUACCAAGGCAACGAAGCGUAGCCGACCUGAGAGGAGGAUAAGCCACAAUGGAACUGCGACACGGUCCAGACUCCUACGGGAGGCAGCAGUGGGGAAUAUUGGACAAUGGGCGCAAGCCUGAUCCAGCCAUACCGCGUGGGUGAAGAAGGCCUUCGGGUUUUAAAGCCCUUUUGUUGGGAAAGAACAGCAGCAGGUUAAUACCCCGCUGUUCUGACGGUACCCAAAGAAUAAGCACCGGCUAACUUCGUG
rnacentral:rRNA from 1 species